rnacentral:ncRNA from 1 species
CCCGCUGAGUUUAAGCAUAUAAAUAAGCGGAGGAGAAGAAACUUACGAGGAUUCCCCUAGUAACGGCGAGCGAACCGGGAGAUGCCCAGCUUGAGAAUCGGGCGGCCGCGCCGUCCGAAUUGUAGUCUGGAGAGGCGUCCUCAGCGACGGACCGGGCCCAAGUCCCCUGGAAAGGGGCGCCUGGGAGGGUGAGAGCCCCGUCCGGCCCGGACCCUGUCGCCCCACGAGGCGCCGUCAACGAGUCGGGUUGUUUGGGAAUGCAGCCCAAAUCGGGCGGUAAACUCCGUCCAAGGCUAAAUACAGGCGAGAGACCGAUAGCGAACAAGUACCGCGAGGGAAAGAUGAAAAGGACUUUGAAAAGAGAGUCAAAGAGUGCUUGAAAUUGCCGGGAGGGAAGCGGAUGGGGGCCGGCGAUGCGCCCCGGCCGUAUGCGGAACGGCUCCGGCUGGUCCGCCAAUCGGCUCGGGGCGUGGACCGUUGUCGGCCGCGCCGGCGGCCAAAGCCCGGGGGCCCCGCGCCCCCGGUAGCCGUCGUCGGCGCAGCCGGUCACCGCGCGCCUCUGGCGCGCCCCUCGGGGCGCUGCGCUGCAACGGCCUGCGGGCUCCCCAUCCGACCCGUCUUGAAACACGG